UGCAACUUCAAGCCGCGACACACUGGACUGUCACAUAGCGUCGCUUCCCCCCCCCCGGACAGCACAGCAGCGUCACACUGCCAGCUGUGGAUCCAGUCCGGAGAGAGUCUGCUCCGCGUUACCAAGCGCAACUCUUGGACAUCAGUCACAAGGAGGAAAAGAUUCUUUGAAGGACUGUAAACUCUUUGGGGUUCUGGACCAAAUAUGACGAGAUCCAGACAGCUUCCGACCCUGUUCUGCUAUGAGCCAAACACACUUACUGCUGACCGGGUGGAGGAUUUUUUCAGCAUUCAUCUCACUCCAGAAAGGAGCAACAAGACUUUCUGUAGGAAUUAUCUCCAAGAUGCAGAAG